rnacentral:rRNA from 1 species
GCCUCAGUAACGGCGAGUGAAGCGGCAACAGCUCAAAUUUGAAACCUGGCGCUUGCGUCCGGAUUGUAAUUUGCAGAGGAUGCUUCUGGGCAGCGGCCGUUCUAAGUUCCUUGGAACAGGACGUCAUAGAGGGUGAGAAUCCCGUAUGUGACCGGCGCGCACCCUCCACGUAGCUCCUUCGACGAGUCGAGUUGUUUGGGAAUGCAGCUCUAAAUGGGUGGUAAAUUCCAUCUAAAGCUAAAUAUUGGCCCGAGACCGAUAGCGCACAAGUAGAGUGAUCGAAAGAUGAAAAGCACUUUGGAAAGAGAGUUAAAAAGCACGUGAAAUUGUUGAAAGGGAAGCGCUUCCCACCAGACUCCGCGGCGGUGUUCCGCCGGCCUUCUGGCCGGUCUACUCGCCGCCGUGGGGCCAGCAUCGUCUGGGGCCGUCGGAUAAGACCGUAGGAAUGUAGCUCAUUGAGUGUUAUAGCCUGCGGUGAUGCGACGCGCCCCGGGCGAGGUCCGCGCUUCGGCAAGGAUGCUGGCGUAAUGGUGGGCAGCGGCCCGUCUUGAAACACGGACCAAGGAGUCUAACAUCUAUGCGAGUGUUCGGGUGUCAAACCCCUACGCGUAAUGAAAGUGAACGGAGGUGGGAGCUUCGGCGCACCAUCGACCGAUCCUGAUGUCCUCGGAUGGAUUUGAGUAAGAGCAUAGCUGUUGGGACCCGAAAGAUGGUGAACUAUGCCUGAAUAGGGUGAAGCCAGAGGAACUCUGGUGGAGGCUCGCAGCGGUUCUGACGUGCAAAUCGAUCGUCAAAUUUGGGCAUAGGGGCGAAAGACUAAUCG